UCGUGACUGUAUUGAAUAUUUUGUAUGUAAAUACGAAUGGAACACGUUGCAUUGUCUAGACAGAAUUUAAUUUUACAAUUUUAAUCUGUACUGGUAUGUGGACAUUACUGGGUGUAAAACAAGUACCUUUGAAGAGAUGGUUUUGAGGUCAUUAGGGAAUGCAAAUCCAAUGGUUUGUUUUUCCUCUGUAACUCGCAAACUGUCAAACUGCGCAAACGGGCAGGACGCUCAACUGAUGUUAAGUGAUACCAUGAACUCACGUUGCCAGAAGGCUCGUGCGUUGGCCUUUUAGGAGUUGAUCCCGAAGAAGAGAAUCCAAUUCCUCACCUUGAACUAUUUGAUAGCGGUUUGAAUUUCUG